CCGGGGUCCGGGAGGGACAUGGGGGGCCAGCGGCAGGUGGGACACCGGCCUGCAGAGGGCGCUCCGGAGGCUGGAGAGCUAAUUCCCUGGACAAUCAGCAGGGGGCGCCGCAGCGGAUACAUGAAUGAAGCUUAACGCCAUUGCUGAAUGGAAUUAACUUCCAUUAACGGAGACAAGAUUUAUCACUGCUUUGAGGAAGUGACAAUUGUGGCUUUUUUACGGGAGCCAGUGGGAGAGGUGAACGAAACUCCGCUUUGUUGACUGUCAAGCCACAAACCCAUUAAUCUGUACAAACAGAAGCUUCAACUAACACUGGGUUGGGAAGAGGGUCCUGCAGAAUCAAGAUUUAGUCGCUGUAUUAAAGGUAAGGACUGUAUCCACCUGAAAUCCCAAACAGGGGUUAAAAAUGUCUUCCUUAUACCCUGUGUGUGGGAAUUGGCUAUAUUGCAAACAUAAGAACUUCCAUACUGGGUCAGACCAAAGGUCCAUCUAGCCCAGUCUCCUGUCCUCAGAUAGUGGCCAGUGCCAGGUGCCCCAGAGGGAAUGAACAGAACAGGGAAUCAUCAAGUGCUCCAUCCCGAUGCAAAAAUGCAUGGCUUAAUGUACCAAUGCAGCUCCACCAGUCCCACCACUGGUAGAAGCUGUAGUGGAGACAGGAUGUGAGUGUUUUCAGGCAAAAUAAUUGUAAGCACAUCGGAGCCCUGUACCCUGCAGCUUUCACUAUUACUGUCACCAAUGGAACUAAACUGGUGGGCACCUGUGGUGAACUGGGCGCAUAACCGAUUUUUCCAGUUUGCUGACAAUUCUGACUCAAAACCUUUUGAUUUUGUGAAUUAACAUAUUUAAUUAAAUGUUUUGACUUUUUCAGAGUUUUUUAGCCAAAACAACUUGGCGAAACCGACACGAAUUCACAAAAUGCUGCCGAAUCUGCAUUUUAUGCCAGAAAAAUUUGACCACGCUCUAGCUAUGGGUUGUGGUUUGGGCAGCAAAAAUGCAGCCUUUCCUGGGACAACUUUCUUAGUAACCCAGGCAGUGGUGGGUUGAUUUAUGGUCCAAAGCAGGGAGUUGCUGUACUUAAUAUAUUUUUAUCCUAGCUAGUAUAACUGUGGAUAUUUUAAUUUCACACAAAUGUCUAAUCCUUUUUCUGAAAUCUACUAAGCUCUUGGCCUCAAUAUCUUGUGGCAAUGAGUUCCUCAUGUUAAAUACGUCUCAUGUAGAAAAUUAUUUCCUCUUAACUUUAAAGUGCAUACAUACAUAAAUUUUGUUGCCUUUUAAUUAUAUUUAGUUUCCUUUGUGCUCGUAUUACCAGGGACACAGGGUAAAUAGGUGGACUUGAUUUACCUUCUCUAAACCAUUCAUUAUUGUUACUUCUAGCAUGUCCCACAUUAUUAAUCUCUUCUCUAAAAAUGAGGUAUUCCUAGCAAUCUCUCCUCAGAUGGAAAUCAUUCCAAGACUCUUGUCAUUUUCCAAAUCUGAUUUAUACUUUCUGAGAUAAGGUGACCAGAACUGAACAUACUGUUUAAGGUGGGAAUGUGCCAUCACUGUCCAUAAUUAAUGAGAUCUCUACAAUGACACUUGGGUCUUCCAGCAGAUUUAGGAUCCAUCAAUGUCGAUGAGUAGUUCAAACUUUUUCUUCUAAUGGGUAUCACCUUGCACUUGGCUACACUUACUUUCGUCUGCCAUCAUAGAAUCAUAGAAUAUUAGGGUUGGAAGAGACCU